CUGAAAUGCGCCUUAAAAACCAUCAGUCAAAAGGCUGAACUGUGCCUUUAAAGCCUCGGUCAAAGGAAAACGAGAAUUGAUGAGAGUUGGCAGUCACACAUUGUUAUACUGGGGACAUUUCAAGCUCUAGAUUAACAAAAUAAAGGUUUAAUGAGUGUUCCAACUAUGUUUUAACUUCAAUAGAUUACAUGAUAGUGUUGGGAAGCAUUAAGAACAGCUAAUCAAGUUGUGUACAACACU